rnacentral:rRNA from 1 species
AGUACGCACUUCGGUGCAAUGUACGAGUGGCGAACGGGUGAGUAACACGUGAGAAACCUGCCUCGGAGACCGGGACAACCAUUGGAAACGAUGGCUAAUACCGGAUGUCCUUUUACGGUCGCAUGACUGUUUGAGGAAAUGAUCCGUCGCUCCGGGAGGGUCUCGCGUCCUAUCAGCUUGUUGGUGAGGUAAUGGCUCACCAAGGCAUCGACGGGUAGCUGGUCUGAGAGGACGAUCAGCCACACUGGGACUGAGACACGGCCCAGACUCCUACGGGAGGCAGCAGUAGGGAAUCUUGCACAAUGGGCGAAAGCCUGAUGCAGCGACGCCGCGUGGGGGAUGAAGGCCUUCGGGUUGUAAACCCCUUUCAGUAGGGACGAAAAUGACGGUACCUACAGAAGAAGCUCCGGCCAACUACGUGCCAGCAGCCGCGGUAACACGUAGGGAGCAAGCGUUGUCCGGAUUUAUUGGGCGUAAAGAGCUCGUAGGUGGUUCGGUAAGUCGGAUGUGAAAACUCAAGGCUCAACCUUGAGACGCCAUCCGAUACUGCUGUGACUUGAGUUCGGUAG